rnacentral:misc_RNA from 1 species
GAUGAAGAACGUAGCGAAAUGCGAUAAGUAAUGUGAAUUGCAGAAUUCAGUGAAUCAUCGAAUCUUUGAACGCACCUUGCGCCCUUUGGCCAUUCCGAAGGGCACGCCUGUUUGGGUAUCAUGAACACCUCAACUCUUCAUGGUUUUCCAUGAUGAGCUUGGACUUUGGGGGUCUUGCUGGCCUGUGGGUCGGCUCCUCUCAAAUGAAUCAGCUUGCCGGUUUUUGGUGGGCAUCACAGGUGUGAUAACUAUCUACGCUUGUGGUUUUCCACCAGGGUAACCUUCAGCAGUGGAGGUUCACUGGAGCUUACAAAUGUCUCUCCUCUGUGAGGACAGCCCUUUGAAUGUUUGAUCUCAAAUCAGGUAGGACUACCCGCUGAACUUAAGCAUAUCAAUAAGCGGAGGA